rnacentral:rRNA from 1 species
CCUACGGGUGGCAGCAGUGAGGAAUAUUGGUCAAUGGGCGCGAGCCUGAACCAGCCAAGUAGCGUGAAGGAUGACUGCCCUACGGGUUGUAAACUUCUUUUAUAAAGGCAUAAAGUGAGGCACGUGUGCCUUUUUGUAUGUACUUUAUGAAUAAGGAUCGGAUAACUCCGUGCCAGCAGCCGCGGUAAUACGGAGGAUCCGAGCGUUAGACGGAUUUAUUGGGUUGAAAGGGAGCGUAGAUGGGUUGUUAAGUCAGUGGUGAAAGUUUUCGGCUCAACCGUAAAAUUGCAAUUGAUACUGGCAGCCUUGAGUACAGUUGAGGUAGGCGGAAUUCGUGGUGUAGCGGUGAAAUGCUUAGAUAUCACGAAGAACUCCGAUUGCGAAGGCAGCUUACUAAACUGCCACUGACAUUGAUGCUCGAAAGUGUGGGUAUCAAACAGGAUUAGAUACCCUAGUAGUC